CAACGGCAUCAACUACUACUACUACUACUACUACAUCUCCGGUGGCGACUACAUCAGUUCCAGCAUCAACUUCAACAACCACACUGGCAAGCACGACUACACCAUAUGACGGUACGUGUGAGGCGGACAGCGACUGUGCUGUUUCUCCUGGACGGACUUGUUCUGGGGGUGUCUGCACAUGUUCCAUCGGGUACGACAUGGACGAGACCAGCGUUACGUGCAGGAAGCUGACAGAAUGCUCAUCGUUUGGAUCUGAUUUCACCCUCUUCGUGAACCUGGCAAUCAGAGGACACAACGUCAGGACCAUCUAUUCUAAGACUUCUGCGGAAUGUGCAGAGCUGUGUGUGGAUGCUAAAAACAUCGUCUGCAGAUCUUUCGAACAUUACAAUAAUAACUGCUUCUUGCAGACUCUGACGUGGUUUGACGUCGGCGGCGACGAUCAUCGUUCUCUUGCAAAUGUUGGUCAUUACCAGCGUCGAUGUAACUGGUGAAACACACAGGCUUAUGUCUCUGAUUGAGCUAGUAAUAUGGAAAGAAGUUUAAUAUGACAAAAUAUUGGAAGAUGAGAACACGAAAUGUGUCAAAACCUUCGCAUUCUCACGAUCUUAAUUUUUUUGGUACUUUUGUCAAGAGUCGAAAACAUGAGAAUGGGGUAUAAUCUCGCAAUCUCGACCUGUAAAAAUCAGGCAAAAAAACACGAAGACGCAAGAUUUCCUGUGACUGCGAGAUUGCGCCGACAGUUUCACAUAUUUCCCCCAAUGUUUUGG